CCUACGGGUGGCAGCAGUGGGGAAUAUUGGACAAUGGGCGAAAGCCUGAUCCAGCCAUGCCGCGUGUGUGAAGAAGGCCUUCGGGUUGUAAAGCACUUUCAGUGGGGAAGAAAGCCUUGGGGCUAAUACCCUCGAGGAAGGACAUCACCCACAGAAGAAGCACCGGCUAACUCCGUGCCAGCAGCCGCGGUAAUACGGAGGGUGCGAGCGUUAAUCGGAAUUACUGGGCGGAAAGCGCGCGUAGGCGGUCUGAUAAGCCGGUUGUGAAAGCCCCGGGCUCAACCUGGGAACGGCAUCCGGAACUGUCAGGCUAGAGUGCAGGAGAGGAAGGUAGAAUUCCCGGUGUAGCGGUGAAAUGCGUAGAGAUCGGGAGGAAUACCAGUGGCGAAGGCGGCCUUCUGGACUGACACUGACGCUGAGGUGCGAAAGCGUGGGUAGCAAACAGGAUUAGAUACCCGAGUAGUC
rnacentral:rRNA from 1 species